UGGAGGAAAGCAGGGGAUCGCAAGACCUUGCGCUUUUGGAGUGGCCGAUGCCUGAUUAGCUAGUUGGUGGGGUAAGAGCCUACCAAGGCGACGAUCAGUAGUUGGUCUGAGAGGACGACCAGCCACACUGGGACUGAGACACGGCCCAGACUCCUACGGGAGGCAGCAGUGGGGAAUUUUGGACAAUGGGCGAAAGCCUGAUCCAGCAAUGCCGCGUGAGUGGAGAAGGCCUUCGGGUUGUAAAGCUCCUUCAGUCGAGAAGAAAAGGUCGCGACUAAUAAUCGCGACUCAUGACGGUAUCGACAGAAGAAGCACCGGCUAACUACGUGCCAGCAGCCGCGGUAAUACGUAGGGUGCGAGCGUUAAUCGGAAUUACUGGGCGUAAAGGGUGCGCAGGCGGCUUUGUAAGUCAGAUGUGA
rnacentral:rRNA from 1 species